rnacentral:lncRNA from 1 species
GCUGUCACCUAUCGCAUCCCAUCAUAGGUUUCAAUGUUAUCGAGCACAUCCUGACAAUGACCGAAAAGACUAAACGAUACAGUACAGUAAAAACAGCUUUCCCAAACCUCAAAAGAAACAAGGUGAGAGUUUUUAUACAGGCUGUUAGCGCAGAACAGACAGAUGAAUACGCAGUGAAAACCAAGAAGGAGAAGGUUGCUGUACCAAAACACAGUAGCAUUCAGAUUGAGUGCCGUGUAGCUUCCCAGCCUUUCAAAGAGGACAUGACAAUGCUUUUCCAGCCAGACCUGAACCCGCAGUGGCCAGACGACCUUGAGUUCUUUGACACACUAGUCAGAGUCAGGAAAGGUGUUUUUCCAGUUAUCAUGCUUGAUGUCUCUAACCCUACUGACCACGACAUUGCCCUGCUAGGACGCACAAUAAUUGGUACAGUACACACCAUUAUGACUGUGUUACCUGCCCAGGUCUUUGAAAAAACUGUCACCCCAGCCACAGUGAAUCACACAAGCGUUCGAACCCCAUGUACUGCUACUGAACAGUGGGAUCCACCAGUAGGUUUAAAUCACCUCACCGAAGAGCAGAGAGAAGUUGUUAGGCAAAUGCUUAGAGAAGAGUGCCACUCCUUCUCCAGAUCAGACAAUGACAUUGGCUGUAUUGAACGAUUGAAAAUGACUAUUUCUCUAAAGGACUCUGAACCAGUCAAGCGCACAUACAUGUCAGUGCCCAGGCCACUGUAUCAGGAGAUGAAGGGUUACCUUUAUGACCUCAUAGCCCAGGGCUGGGUUAGGAAGUCAAACGCUUCAUAUUCUUCACCUGUCGUGUGCGUUCGGAAGAAGGACGGGACCCUCCGGUUGUGUAUAGAUUACAGACACAUCCCGACCGCCAGCCUAUCCCUCGGGUCCAAGACAUCAUGGACAGUUUAGGUGGUAAUUCCUGGUUCUCCCUCUUAGACCAGGGAAAAGCGUAUCACCAGGGGUUCAUCUCUGAAGAAAGCAGACCACUGACAGCAUUUGUGACCCCAUGGGGACUCUAUGAGUGGAUACGUAUGCCAUUCGGCCUCAUGAACGCUCCUGCAGCUUUUCAGCGGUGUAUGGAGGAGUGUUUGGAAGGGUUCCGGGAUAACAUCUGCAUUCCUUACCUAGACGACACGCUAGUUUUCAGUAAAACAUUCGACAGCCAUGUGAAUGAUGUGAGAAAAGUGAUGCAGCGUCUCUGAGAGUAUGGCAUUAAACUCAAACCAAGUAAGUGUGAUCUCUUUAAACCCCAAGUCCGUUAUUUGGGCAGAAUAGUGUCUGCAGAGGGCAGCCGAGUUGACCCAGCUGAUUUUGAAGCAGUAAGAGCAUUGAGAGAAAUCAGACCAGAGACUGUGGGCCAGCUCAGAAAAAUGCUUGGUUUACUCACUUACUACAGACAGUACAUCAAAGACUUUUCUAGGAGGGCCAGCUGCCUGUAUGACCUCCUGAAAGCAGAUUCAGAGAAAUUACCUCACCACCCACGGAAAACAAAAACAAAGAAAGCAGAUGCUACGGAUCCGACGUUUCUGGACACCACUUCUCGGAGGUGCAAGUAAGCCUACCCAUGACAACCUUUUAAAAUGCCUACCACUUCUUGCUGAAUGAAUCCUCUCCAAUUUGUCACGAGUCAACGUAAACACACUAUUGUUUGGAGCGGCAAGCCUGAAUCCUAAUUGCCUCAUCUGACAAAACACACGUCAGUGUAUCCUCGUUUAUUUCCAUGUCAACCUCUCCAUUUACAUGUUGCUCAUCUGCUUCAGUUUUCAUAGCGCUUACGAUUUCCUCAUCUGAUAAACCUCUACCACAACCUUCUAAGUGGUAGUAUUCAUUCCCAAUACCUUGGGUGUCUGAGAUUUGAUUGGGCUGCACCACUGACAGUCCAUCAUAUGAACUCGUGGCUACAUCAGGAUGAAGAUCCGUAGCAGGUUCUUUAUCCUCAGAGGUGUGUACACUUUGCAUAUUAAGUUGGCAGUCUGAGGGUCUUCUCUGAGCAGUUGACAUUCCCUCAUUUAAACUCUCCACAUGCAAUAGAUUGUGUACCUGAGCCUCAGUUACAUUCUCUGUUUGUACCAUUUUGUUUAAUUUCACCUUGUUGUCACUAGCAAUAGAAUGUAUAAAUGUGUCACAGUCCACUUUAAGACUAAAUCAAAUCAAAUGAUAUUUGUCACAUGCUUUGUAGACAACAGGUCAAAUACAGUGAGAUGCUUACUUACGGGCCCUUCCCAACAAUGCAAAGAGAAAGAAAAUAGAGAAAUAAUAGAAAAGUAAAACAACGGCUGUAAUUUGCAGUAGCUGUACUUGAACUCAACAUUAUUCUGAGUAGUAUAGAAAAGUAGCAGAUUCUACAUCCUUUUGACUAUCUAGAGAUACGCCAACACAAUCAGUGAUACCAAUUUGUACAGAUAUCACAUGCUAGCAUUGCUCAUUUACUGUUAUUUGGU